rnacentral:rRNA from 1 species
AUUGAACGCUGGCGGCAGGCCUAACACAUGCAAGUCGAGCGGAUGAAAGGGGCUUGCUCCUGGAUUCAGCGGCGGACGGGUGAGUAAUGCGCAGGAAUCUACCUAGUAGUGGGGGAUAACGUUUCGAAAGGAACGCUAAUACCGCAUACGUUCUGAGGAAGAAAGCAGGGGAUCGUAAGACCUUGCGCUAUUAGAUGAGCUUGCGUCCGAUUAGCUAGUUGGUGGGGUAAAGGCCUACCAAGGCGACGAUCGGUAACUGGUCUGAGAGGAUGAUCAGUCACACUGGAACUGAGACACGGUCCAGACUCCUACGGGAGGCAGCAGUGGGGAAUAUUGGACAAUGGGGGCAACCCUGAUCCAGCCAUGCCGCGUGUGUGAAGAAGGCCUCGGUUGUAAAGACACUUUAAGUACGGGGAGGAAGGGACCGUGAGUGGCGUAAUAUCCAUCGGGAGUUGACGUUACCCGUCCGACGAAUAAGACACCGGCGAAACUUACGUAGUCCACGCAGCC